CUUCCCUACGGGGGGCAGCAGUGGGGGAUAUUGCACAAUGGGGGAAACCCUGAUGCAGCGACGCCGCGUGAGUGAAGAAGUAUUUUGGUAUGUAAAGCUCUAUCAGCAGGGAAGAAAAAAGACGGUACCUGACUAAGAAGCCCCGGCUAACUACGUGCCAGCAGCCGCGGUAAUACGUAGGUGACAAGCGUUGUCCGGAUUUACUGGGUGUAAAGGGCGUGCAGCCGGGAAGACAAGUCAGAUGUGAAAUCCCGCGGCUCAACCGCGGAACUGCAUUUGAAACUGUUUUUCUUGAGUACCGGAGG
rnacentral:rRNA from 1 species